GGAGAGAGAAGGAGUGAGAGAGAAAAGUGGAGGGAGAGAGAAGGGGAGAGAGAGAAAGGUGGAGGGACAGAGAAGGGGAGAGAGAGAAAGGUGGAGAGAGAGAAACGGGGAGACAGAGGAAGAUGGAGGGAGAGAGAAGGGAGAGAGAAAAAGAUGGAGGGAGAGAUAAGGGGAGAGAGAGAAAGGUGUCGGGAGAGAAGGGGAAAGAGAGAAAACUGGAUGAGAUGGAGAGAAGGUGAGAGAGAGAGAGAAAGGGGGGAGAGAGAAAGGUGGUGGGAGAGAGAAGGGGAGAGAGAGAAAGAUGGAUGGAGAGAGAAGGGGUGAGAGAAAGCUGGAGGGAGAGAGAAGGGGUGAGAGAGAGAGAAUGGUGGUGGGAGAGAGAAGGGGAGAGAGAAAGAGAAUGGGAGAGAGAGAAAGAUGGAGGGAGAGAGAGAAAGGUGGAGAGAGAGAGAAGGAGAGAGAGAGAAAGGUGGAGAGAGAAGGAUAGAGAGAGAAAGGUGGUGAGAGAGAAGGGGAGAGAGAGAAAGAUGGAGGGA
ensembl:lncRNA